GACGAACGCUGGCGGCGUGCCUAACACAUGCAAGUCGAGCGGAGUCGAUCGACGGAAGCCUUCGGGCGGAAGAUGGUUGACUUAGCGGCGGAUGGGUGAGUAACGCGUGGGCAACCUGCCUCGAAGACCGGGAUAACAGACCGAAAGGGCUGCUAAUACCGGAUGUGGUCAAGGAUCCGCAUGGAUCUUUGAUUAAAGGGGAAACCCGUUUCGAGAUGGGCCCGCGUCCUAUCAGCUAGUUGGUGAGGUAAAAGCUCACCAAGGCGACGACGGGUAGCCGGCCUGAGAGGGUGACCGGCCACACUGGAACUGAGACACGGUCCAGACUCCUACGGGGGCAGCAGUGGGGAAUCUUCCACAAUGGGCGAAAGCCUGAUGGAGCGACGCCGCGUGAGCGAAGAAGGCCUUCGGGUUGUAAAGCUCUGUCUGGAGGGACGAAGGAAGUGACGGUACCUCCGGAGGAAGCCACGGCUAACUACGUGCCAGCACGCCGACGGUAAAUAGCGUACU
rnacentral:rRNA from 1 species